ACGCGCGGAACCUUACCAGGUCUUGACAUCCUCUGACCACCCUAGAGAUAGGGAUUUCCCUUCGGGGACAGAGUGACAGGUGGUGCAUGGUUGUCGUCAGCUCGUGUCGUGAGAUGUUGGGUUAAGUCCCGCAACGAGCGCAACCCUUGAUCUUAGUUGCCAGCAUUCAGUUGGGCACUCUAAGGUGACUGCCGGUGACAAACCGGAGGAAGGUGGGGAUGACGUCAAAUCAUCAUGCCCCUUAUGACCUGGGCUACACACGUGCUACAAUGGAUGGUACAAAGGGCAGCGAAGCCGCGAGGUGAAGCCAAUCCCAUAAAACCAUUCUCAGUUCGGAUUGUAGGCUGCAACUCGCCUACAUGAAGCUGGAAUCGCUAGUAAUCGCGGAUCAGCAUGCCGCGGUGAAUACGUUCCCGGGCCUUGCACUCACCGCCCGU
rnacentral:rRNA from 1 species